rnacentral:rRNA from 1 species
GGUCUUCACGGCCCGACCUCCAACCCUCUGUUGUUAUAACUAUACCGUUGCUUCGGCGGACGCAGCCCGCAAGGGCUGAGCCAGUCUCACGACCGGCGAGCGCCGCCGGAGUCUAACCAAACUCUUGUUUUUAACCAGUCGUCUGAGUAAAAAUUUUAAUUAAAUUAAAACUUUCAACAACGGAUCUCUUGGUUCUCGCAUCGAUGAAGAACGCAGCGAAAUGCGAUAAGUAAUGUGAAUUGCAGAAUUCAGUGAAUCAUCGAAUCUUUGAACGCACAUUGCGCCCCUUGGUAUUCCGAGGGGCAUGCCUGUUCGAGCGUCAUUACACCACUCAAGCACCGCUUGGUAUUGGGCACCCGUCCGCCGCAAGGCGGGCGUGCCUCGAAGACCUCGGCGGGGCCUCACCAGCUUCGGGCGUAGUAGAGUUAAAUCAAAACGUCUUAUAAGUCUGGGGAGACUCCAUUGCCGUAAAACCUUUUUAUUUUCAGGUUGACCUCGGAUCAGGUAGGGAUACCCGCUGAACUUAAGCAUAUCAGUAAGCGGAGGAAAAG